rnacentral:misc_RNA from 1 species
GAUGAAGAACGCAGCGAAAUGCGAUACGUAGUGUGAAUUGCAGAAUUCAGUGAAUCAUCGAAUCUUUGAACGCACAUUGCACCUCUCGGUAUUCCGGGAGGUAUGCCUGUUCGAGCGUCAUUUGUACCCUCUAGCUCUGCUUGGUGUUGGGUGUUUGUUCCGCCUCUGUGUGUGAACUCGCCUCAAAACAAUUGGCAGCCGGCGUACUUGUUUCGGAGCGCAGCACAUUUUGCGAUCCAGAUCAACGUACAGCGGCAUCCAAGAAGCCUUAUUUAACGCUCUUGACCUCGGAUCAGGUAGGGAUACCCGCUGAACUUAAGCAUAUCAAUAAGCGGAGGA